rnacentral:lncRNA from 1 species
UCGUUGCGUACGAGUAGAAUCUGAGAUGAUUAAAUAAAGGUUAUUAUGACAACCUAGUUUUGAUGAAUGUUUAGAAGAUGUAAACUCCUAGUGAGUAGUUAUGGUGAAAUGUGAUAAUAGAUGAGAAAUCCUCGAAUGAGGAAAUUGUAAAGGUUAAAUUGAAAACCUAGUUUUGAUCAAGAGAAUGAGCAGAGAUUAGGAUGCUUUAAUUUCGAGGACGAAAUUCUUAGAAGAAGGGGUGGAUGUGACAGCCCGAGAAAUUAGAAAAUUAUUAAAAUCUUAAAUGAUUGGUUUAAGGUCAAAUAAUAGACCUAGACAGAGAAUAAGUGU